UGAAAUUAUUUUUGUAAUAGGAAGUGCUGUCAGAAGCGAUAACUGACGAUAGCUACUCCUGGCUGAUG
ensembl:snoRNA